GACUCAACACGGGGAAACUCACCAGGUCCAGACAUAGUAAGGAUUGACAGAUUGAAAGCUCUUUUUAGAUUCUAUGGGUGGUGGUGCAUGGCCGUUCUUAGUUCGUGGAGUGAUUUGUCUGGUUAAUUCCGAUAACGAACGAGACCUUAUUCUGCUAAAUAGGCAGGUCAACUUUUUAGUUGAUUAAUAGAUUUAUCUAUCUGGCUUCUUAGAGAGACUAUCGGCUUCAAGCCGAAGGAAGUUUUAGGCAAUAACAGGUCUGUGAUGCCCUUAGAUGUUCUGGGCCGCNNGCGCGCUACACUGAUGAAGUCAGCGAGUUUAUAACCUUAGCCGGAAGGUUUGGGUAAACUUUUGAAACUUCAUCGUGCUGGGGAUAGAGCAUUGUAAUUAUUGCUCUUCAGCGAGGAAUUCCUAGUAAGCGCAAGUCAUCAGCUUGCGUUGAUUACGUCCCUGCCCUUUGUACACACCGCCCGUCGCUACUACCGAUUGAAUGGUUAUAGUGAGCAUAUGGGAUCAGUAGAAUUAGACUGGCAACAGUCUUUCUCUGCAGAGAACUAUGGCAAACUAGGCUAUUUAGAGGAAGUAAAAGNCGUAACAAGGU
rnacentral:rRNA from 1 species